rnacentral:rRNA from 1 species
GACGAACGCUGGCGGCGUGCCUAAUACAUGCAAGUUGAGCGAUGAAGAUUGGUGCUUGCACCAAUUUGAAGAGCAGCGAACGGGUGAGUAACGCGUGGGGAAUCUGCCUUUGAGCGGGGGACAACAUUUGGAAACGAAUGCUAAUACCGCAUAACAACUUUAAACAUAAGUUUUAAGUUUGAAAGAUGCAAUUACAUCACUCAAAGAUGAUCCCGCGUUGUAUUAGCUAGUUGGUGAGGUAAAGGCUCACCAAGGCGAUGAUACAUAGCCGACCUGAGAGGGUGAUCGGCCACAUUGGGACUGAGACACGGCCCAAACUCCUACGGGAGGCAGCAGUAGGGAAUCUUCGGCAAUGGACGAAAGUCUGACCGAGCAACGCCGCGUGAGUGAAGAAGGUUUUCGGAUCGUAAAACUCUGUUGGUAGAGAAGAACGUUGGUGAGAGUGGAAAGCUCAUCAAGUGACGGUAACUACCCAGAAAGGGACGGCUAACUACGUG